UACGUAGGGGGCUAGCGUUGUCCGGAUUUAUUGGGCGUAAAGAGCGUGUAGGCGGCCAGAUAGGUCCGUUGUGAAACCUGGAGGCUUAACCUCGAGCUGUCGGCGGAAACCAUCUGGCUAGAGUCCGGAAGAGGAGAAUGGAAUUCCCGGUGUAGCGGUGAAAUGCGCAGAUAUCGGGAAGAACACCCGUGGCGAAGGCGGUUCUCUGGGACGGUACUGACGCUGAGACGCGAAAGCGUGGGGAGCGAACAGG
rnacentral:rRNA from 1 species